rnacentral:rRNA from 1 species
GACAGAGGGUGCAAACGUUGUUCGGAAUUACUGGGCGUAAAGCGCGUGUAGGCGGCUAUGUAAGUCGGAUGUGAAAGCCCUCGGCUCAACCGGGGAACUGCACUCGAAACUGCGUUUCUUGAGUAUCGGAGAGGAAAGCGGAAUUCCUGGUGUAGAGGUGAAAUUCGUAGAUAUCAGGAGGAACACCAGUGGCGAAGGCGGCUUUCUGGACGGUAACUGACGCUGAGGCGCGAAAGCGUGGGGAGCAAACAGG